GUGGUGUAGGAGCAUCUGGGGCACGCGUGGAGCCUUGGGUACGGAGACAUGGCCGAGAUGGUAGCCCUUGGGUACGUGGAUUGGUUUGGACGACCUUCAACAGUCCAGCUAGCCGUCUCGUCGGUUCUACGGUCUAGUUGCUGCGAUAGCUAUCGCAAUAACCCGCGUGGUUCUGGCAGGUGAUUCAGAUAAAAUCCAAGUGCAUCGCCCUCCAGCCGCUGCACAUGACGAUUUUGAAGCAGACGUGGUUAUCGUUGACGUUGAAGAAGUGUUAGAAUCAACUACAACAUUGACGACAACAAUUGAUAUCGCGAAGCUACAUGAAACUGUCGUAACAAAGGAUGUUAUCGAAGUGAAUACCGUCUUCCAUACCGCUUCUACUUCCACUCUCUUUACAGAUAUAUUUACAGCAUCCACAUGGGAUAACUGCUUCUCCACCACAACCCAUUGUUACACGAUCUACCAGACCAUUACUCAAUCUAAAACGCCUAUUUUCAUCACAUACCCUGGUCACACCAGGACAGUCACGCAGUCGCACUACUACCUUGCCACCGCAACAACCACUAUGUCCAAAUAUUGCCCAAUGCCGAUGUGGUGAAUGGACUGGAUCCUUAAAUUCCAACAUGCAUUGUCUUGAGAUUUAUCCUACAAUAAAUUCCUAUAUCAG
rnacentral:misc_RNA from 1 species